UACGAAGGGGGCUAGCGUUGUUCGGAAUCACUGGGCGUAAAGGGCGCGUAGGCGGCUUUGUAAGUCGGGGGUGAAAGCCUGUGGCUCAACCACAGAAUUGCCUUCGAUACUGCGAGGCUUGAGACCGGAAGAGGUUAGUGGAACUGCGAGUGUAGAGGUGAAAUUCGUAGAUAUUCGGUGGAACACCAGUGGCGAAGGCGACUCGCUGGACUGAUACUGACGCUGAGGUGCGAAAGCGUGGGGAGCAAACAGG
rnacentral:rRNA from 1 species